GGGGGUAUAGCUCAGGGGGAGAGCGCGUGCUUAGCGUGCACGAGGGUCUGGGUUCCAGCCCCAGCCUCCA
rnacentral:tRNA from 1 species